rnacentral:rRNA from 1 species
UACGACGGGGGCUAGCGUUGUUCGGAUUUACUGGGCGUAAAGCGCACGUAGGCGGAUCGAUCAGUCAGGGGUGAAAUCCCAGGGCUCAACCCUGGAACUGCCUUUGAUACUGUCGAUCUGGAGUAUGGAAGAGGUGAGUGGAAUUCCGAGUGUAGAGGUGAAAUUCGUAGAUAUUCGGAAGAACACCAGUGGCGAAGGCGGCUCACUGGACCGGUAUUGACGCUGAGGUGCGAAAGCGUGGGGAGCAAACAGG